AAGGCCCAGACAGCCAGGAUGUUGGCUUAGAAGCAGCCAUCAUUUAAAGAAAGCGUAAUAGCUCACUGGUCGAGUCGGCCUGCGCGGAAGAUGUAACGGGGCUAAACCAUGCACCGAAGCUGCGGCAGCGAACGUAUCACCCAAGACAACUUUACGGAGUUGACGAUUGACGGAGCGAAGCGACGUCAAAGCGUUCAUUAAAGUCGAGUUGGCUUAGGGAUACGUUCGUUGGGUAGGGGAGCGUUCUGUAAGCCUGUGAAGGUGUGUCGUGAGGCAUGCUGGAGGUAUCAGAAGUGCGAAUGCUGACAUAAGUAACGAUAAAGCGGGUGAAAAGCCCGCUCGCCGGAAGACCAAGGGUUCCUGUCCAACGUUAAUCGGGGCAGGGUGAGUCGACCCCUAAGGCGAGGCCGAAAGGCGUAGUCGAUGGGAAACGGGUUAAUAUUCCCGUACUUGGUGUUACUGCGAAGGGGGGACGGAGAAGGCUAUGUUGGCCGGGCGACGGUUGUCCCGGUUUAAGCGUGUAGGUGUGUGUUCCAGGUAAAUCCGGUUCACUUUAACACUGAGGCGUGACGACGAGGCACUACGGUGCUGAAGCAACAAAUGCCCUGCUUCCAGGAAAAGCCUCUAAGCAUCAGGUAACACGAAAUCGUACCCCAAACCGACACAGGUGGUCAGGUAGAGAAUACCAAGGCGCUUGAGAGAACUCGGGUGAAGGAACUAGGCAAAAUGGUGCCGUAACUUCGGGAGAAGGCACGCUGACACGUAGGUGAAGUGAUUUACUCAUGGAGCUGAAGUCAGUCGAAGAUACCAGCUGGCUGCAACUGUUUAUUAAAAACACAGCACUGUGCAAACACGAAAGUGGACGUAUACGGUGUGACGCCUGCCCGGUGCCGGAAGGUUAAUUGAUGGGGUCAGCGUAAGCGAAGCUCCUGAUCGAAGCCCCGGUAAACGGCGGCCGUAACUAUAACGGUCCUAAGGUAGCGAAAUUCCUUGUCGGGUAAGUUCCGACCUGCACGAAUGGCGUAAUGAUGGCCAGGCUGUCUCCACCCGAGACUCAGUGAAAUUGAACUCGCUGUGAAGAUGCAGUGUACCCGCGGCAAGACGGAAAGACCCCGUGAACCUUUACUAUAGCUUGACACUGAACAUUGAGCCUUGAUGUGUAGGAUAGGUGGGAGGCUUUGAAGUGUGGACGCCAGUCUGCAUGGAGCCGACCUUGAAAUACCACCCUUUAAUGUUUGAUGUUCUAACGUGGACCCGUAAUCCGGGUUGCGGACAGUGUCUGGUGGGUAGUUUGACUGGGGCGGUCUCCUCCUAAAGAGUAACGGAGGAGCACGAAGGUUGGCUAAUCCUGGUCGGACAUCAGGAGGUUAGUGCAAUGGCAUAAGCCAGCUUGACUGCGAGCGUGACGGCGCGAGCAGGUGCGAAAGCAGGUCAUAGUGAUCCGGUGGUUCUGAAUGGAAGGGCCAUCGCUCAACGGAUAAAAGGUACUCCGGGGAUAACAGGCUGAUACCGCCCAAGAGUUCAUAUCGACGGCGGUGUUUGGCACCUCGAUGUCGGCUCAUCACAUCCUGGGGCUGAAGUAGGUCCCAAGGGUAUGGCUGUUCGCCAUUUAAAGUGGUACGCGAGCUGGGUUUAGAACGUCGUGAGACAGUUCGGUCCCUAUCUGCCGUGGGCGCUGGAGAACUGAGGGGGGCUGCUCCUAGUACGAGAGGACCGGAGUGGACGCAUCACUGGUGUUCGGGUUGUCAUGCCAAUGGCACUGCCCGGUAGCUAAAUGCGGAAGAGAUAAGUGCUGAAAGCAUCUAAGCACGAAACUUGCCCCGAGAUGAGUUCUCCCUGAGACUUAGAGUCUCCUGAAGGAACGUUGAAGACGACGACGUUGAUAGGCCGGGUGUGUAAGCGCAGCGAUGCGUUGAGCUAACCGGUACUAAUGAACCGUGAGGCUUAACCUUACA
rnacentral:rRNA from 1 species